GAUGAACGCUGGCGGCGUGCCUAAUACAUGCAAGUAGAACGCUGAAGGAAGGAGCUUGCUCUUUCCGGGUGAGUUGCGAACGGGUGAGUAACGCGUAGGUAACCUGCCUGGUAGCGGGGGAUAACUAUUGGAAACGAUAGCUAAUACCGCAUAACAGUAGAUGUUGCAUGAUAUCUACUUAAAAGGUGCAAUUGCACCACUACCAGAUGGACCUGCGUUGUAUUAGCUAGUUGGUGAGGUAACGGCUCACCAAGGCGACGAUACAUAGCCGACCUGAGAGGGUGAUCGGCCACACUGGGACCGAGACACGGCCCAGACUCCUACGGGAGGCAGCAGUAGGGAAACUUCGGCCAUGGACGGAAGUCUGACCGAGCAACGCCGCGUGAGGGAAGAAGGGUUUCGGGUCGUAAAGGUCUGUUGUAAGAGAAGAAAGAGUGUGAGAGUGGAAAGUUCACGCUGUGACGGUAUCUUACCAGAAAGGGACGGCUAACUACGUG
rnacentral:rRNA from 1 species